CCUACGGGAGGCAGCAGUGGGGAAUAUUGGGCAAUGGGCGCAAGCCUGACCCAGCAACGCCGCGUGAAGGAAGAAGGCUUUCGGGUCGUAAACUUCUUUCAAGAGGGAAGAGCAGAAGACGGUACCUCUUGAAUAAGCCACGGCUAACUACGUGCCAGCAGCCGCGGAAAUACGUAGGUGGCAAGCGUUGUCCGGAUUUACUGGGUGUAAAGGGCGUGCAGCCGGGAAGACAAGUCAGAUGUGAAAUCCCGCGGCUCAACCGCGGAACUGCAUUUGAAACUGUUUUGCUGGAGUACGGGAGAGGUAAUCGGAAUUCCUUGUGUAGCGGUGAAAUGCGUAGAUAUAAGGAAGAACACCAGUGGCGAAGGCGGAUGACUGGACGGCAACUGACGGUGAGGCGCGAAAGCGUGGGGAGCAAACAGGAUUAGAUACCCGAGUAGUC
rnacentral:rRNA from 1 species